CAGAUAACGUUGUGGUGUUUGUG
rnacentral:siRNA from 1 species